AAACCAUGCAUUGGACAUUUCUUAAGUAAUUCCUUGAAUCGCUCCCAAGCAUCAUAUAAUGUCUCAUCCUCUGAUUGCCGAAAAGAUGUGAUAUCAUUCUUUAACUU
rfam:Gossypium arboreum cultivar AKA8401 contig_4019_1, whole genome shotgun sequence.